ensembl:lncRNA
AUCCAAUUAGACACACUUAUUGGAUGCCAUGUUUAUCUGAUAAUCAAAGUGGUGGUGUGGACAGAGAAGAUAUACAAUGUUUAGGUCAGAUUAGUCCUCACUUGCUACACUACCUCAGAACUGCCGUCAAAGUGAACCAGCACAGGACUCUCAGAUGACCUGCUACACAGCUUUGUUUUUAAAUUUACAAGGCAAAAGAACAUGGAGAACAAAGACAGCAGGAUGACAACAGAAUGGAACUCAACAAUGGAAAACAGAAAGCAAUCAGAUAGCAAACAAACAAGAACUGACAUGAAAACCCAAAAAGAAACUUUAAAAAGACAAAGGCAACUGAUAUGUCAAGCAAUGGAGGAGAUCGAACAACUCUGGAGACAGACAGAAAGAAAGACAAAUGAAAUUGACUUCUUAAAGACAAAGACAGAGGGGCAACAGGAAGACAUUGAGAGACUGACAUCUGAAAAAAAUAAACAUCACCUACUAUUAAAGCAAUUUAACUUCCAAAUAAAAAAUAUAACUGAGAAACUCAAACAAAGCAAAAAUUCAGUUGCUAAGGAAAAAACAAACUUUCUGAAAACGUGGACUAAAAUAUAUCAAGAAAAGGAUACUCUGGACAGAAGACGUCAAUACUUCAUCAACGAGCGACACAAGCUAGACACUAUAAAAGCUAGUAAGACAGAAUCACCAAUAAGGGAGGAACCCAAAGAGCCCCUUAAUGAGCAGGUAAAGCGGGAACUGGAUAUACUGGAGAAUGCAACUGAGAAAAACAGGGAAAUAAUGCUUGAAGUAAAGAAAGUUAAAGAAAAAAUGGAGAAAACUAAAGCAAACAUACAGCAAGCAUUAAAAAGAAAUAAAAAGGACAUUUCAAAAAACAGUGAACAAAUUAACCACAUUAAACAUAUUAUGUAUGUAAAGAUCAACAUGGUCAAGCACAGAUGGGCAAGCAUUAUAAAACAGGCUGAAAUGAAGAAAAUUCACAUGUAUAAAGAAGGACAGAGAGAAAGAAACGAUGGAAAAGCCACAUUUGACACAGUGAAGAGAAAACUGUGUAGAAUCCAGGAAGAGAUGGAGAAACUUUGGGAUGUGCUGGAAGACAGUGAACAACAACUGGAAGUGACUCAAAGUGCAAAGCAGCAGCUAAUGGCAGAGAACAAUCACAUGAACAUCAAGAUGAAUAUUGAUUAUCAAAAGCAACAAGAUUCAGAUCUAAGCUUUAAAGUGACACACAUCCAGCCUGAAAGAGAUGAUUUAAAGAGAGUUGAAAUGAAACUAAAGACAGGAAGGGAAAAUGUAGAAAAAGACAAACCAAAUACUUACAUGCAGAAUUUGAUCUCUGAGGAAGAAGAAAACAAUGAAGUGCUUUGUAACAAGGGUGAAGAAACAAAGCAGAGCAUGAGGGACUUUACAGAAGUAAAGGCUCAAACGAAAUGGACAAAUUUUCGAGAAAAGCAAAAAAGAAGGGAGCUUGAGCGUUUGCUGGAGAAGAUAAGGAAAGAGAGGGAUGAGUUAGAAAUCAUGAAGACAAAAAUACAGCGACAAAAGGAAAGGGUUGAACAAAAACUGGAAAAUACUGUCACUGAGAUAAAAGGUAAAAUAGAAAAAACUGGUGCAGAAAUGAACAACACUUGGGAGAAAAUGCAGAGAACCCAAAGGGAGAUUAGUAAGAACCAGGAAGAAGCCAAGAACUAUAUGGAAAAACUGACAUCCAUGAAAACUUGGGUCAACAAAUGGAUAUUGGCACAAUCUACAAUCAAACAUACUUUUUCAGUGAACGCAUCCAAACUUCAAGAAUCACAGUAUGAAAUAGACACAGACUCCCUUGAGGAUCAAACAUCAGCAAUUCCAAAGGACAAAAAAGGGAAAAAAAGUAUAACAGAUACAACAUCAUUACAAAAUUCUGUAACAUUAGAUGAUCAGCAUCAAAAUAAAAAAAUAAAAGAACAACAGAAGGAGCAUUUUGAAUCCAAAUAUUGUUUUGCAGAAGGCAAAAAUGGGGAGCAGGACUUUUGCUUACAGAUGCGAACUGAAAUUCAUGAAGAAGUAGUGCAUGAUAAAACUGAAUUACUGAUAAUUGUAAGAGAAAGGGAAGAAGUGGAAAAACUGAUACGUAACCUAAAGCAGCAAGAGGGGGAAAUAAAGGAACAAAUAAAGUACACUAUUGAUAACAUGAACGAAAAAACUCAAGAUAUAAAAAGGCUCAUUUUGGAAAUAAAUGACCUGCAGAGGGCAGACACUGUAAUUACAGUCGGGGAAACUGAAAAUGCCCAGGAAGUAUUAACUAAGCUGUUGGAAGAAACUGAACAGAGAAAGAUUUUGAUGCUGAACACCAAAGUUUUCAAAAAUGAAAUAAUAAAAUAUGAAGUACAAGAGGGGGACGAUGCCAAAAAAAUAAAACAAGAGUCUAGCUUGAUAAGGCUUAAUGUUAACAAGCAAAAACUAAUUCAGAAAUCAGGAGAAGAGAUGAAAAAACAUGUUGAACACACCGAUGAAGAUAAAAAGGACAGAGGAGCCGAUAUACAAAGACUCAGGGCAGAGAUUUACAAAACACAAGAGAUUAUAAGAACGCUAAGAGGAGGACUUGAGAACCUAGCGGAAAAAAAUAACAUGGACAAAUAUCAACAGAAUGAAGGCAGUGAAAUUGAAGGAUUGCUAAAAGACAUCAAACAGUUUCAAGAGUUUUUGGAAAUUGUAAAAACCAAAAUAAAGCAAAGUGAAGUACAUAUGACAGAAGAAAUGAGCAAUAUAAAAUCAAUGAAAACUGCAGUGAAAAAGAAGAGAAGAGAAUUAGAUCAAAGAUUAGAAAAUACUUUGAAAGAGAGAGAUGGAUUAGACAUCUUUAAAAUAAAAAUGCAGAGGCAAACUGAACUGAUUCGGCAGAAUUUAGAAAAAAUGGCAAAAGUUAAGAGCACAGUCGAGAAAAUAGCUGCUAAGACCAGAAGGAAAAUUGAAGAGAUAGAAAUUAGUAUGAAGGAGACUGAAAUAAAACUAAGACAGUUUAAAGACCUUGACUGCAUUAACCUUAACUUGACAAAAGGCGCAAAACCAGACAUGGAACAUGGUAGUACACCUAAGCAAAGAACUGCUCUUGAAAUUUUCAAGACUGAAAUUAAGAAGACAAUGGACAAUAAAAGAGAUAAACUGACAAAAAACAAAAUGGACAAAGAAACUGAGGGAACAGAAAGCCUCAAACAAGUUAAUGAGAAACUGGAGGAGGUAAAACUUUCAUUAGACAGUCUGGGUCAAAAAAAUAAAAAAUCAGUUAGUGAGAAUGUAAAACAAAUAAUCAAGAGAGAAGAGACUGAGAUGACAGAACAGAUCCAAACAGCGAUAAAGAAUGAGAAAAUGGUUAAACAGCUAACUGAAACAGAAAUACAGGAGGAACAGGUGAACCAUUUGAGGGAGAAAACUGAAAGAAAAGAACAGGAGCUUGAUGACGGAGUACACAUGACCAAAAGGCAAAUAAGAGAAAUGGAGCUGCUGCAAUCAGAAUUGAAAAUAAAGGUAAAAGAAUUUGAGCGUUUUUUUAGAAAAAGUAUGAGAAAAAAGGAGGAAAUUGAAAUAAUGUGGUAUGAAAUACAACAAGAAAAGGAAGCAUUGAGGACCGAGAUCAAAAAGAAAAGAAGAGAAUUAGACCAAAGACUGGAGAUGACUAUGAGAAAAAGGGAUGAACUAGAAGUGUUAAGGGUAAAAUUGAAACGACAGAUGGAAGAGCUGGCUGAGGAGAAGCAGAGAGACCAUAAUCUGUUCAUCCAUCUACCCAAUGAACAUGAAAAACAUUUUGGAAGGAAAGAUGUGAAAAUGUUAAUGGAGAAAAUCAAAAACCACAGCUUAAAAGUUUCUCAGUAUACUAUUUACAUCCAAGACAUAAGAGACAAGUUUAAUUUACACAUGGGAACAAUUAGGACAGAGAUGAAAAUUCUAGAAAAUGUGAAUGCUCAUUUAGAAAAGGACAAAAAAGGAUUCAGAGAAGUUGAGGCUGAAAAUAAGAAUAUAACAAACAAAAUGAAGAGGUUAAAAUAUCAGCUUAAUAUACUCUUUGGAAGAGUUACCAUACAAGACACUGCAGAGAUGGAUGAAACAAUCAACAUCUGGGAAAAAAUCCAAAGAGAAAAACAGAAGCUUGAUAUGAGACUAGAAAAUAUUAAAAGGGAAAGACAAGAGAUAGAAGUUCUGGUGGUUGAGCUGGAGAUGAAGAAAAGAGAAAACCAACGUGUAAUCAAAAGAAGCAUUCAAAAAGAACAGAAGAUAAAAAGAAUAUGGGCUACUUUCAAAGAAGAAAGAACUGCCCUCGUGAGAGAAACAAAGCAGAAAAAGGAGGUUGAACAACGACGAGAGGAGAUCAUCAAACAUCAAGGUGAACAAGAAAUAAAGCAGAAGUUGCAAAAAGAAAAGAAAGGGAUGCAAAGUGAAAUUGAAGACAUGAGGAUGAAAGAAAAAAGGAAACAAAUUCAAAAACAAUGGGAACUAAUCAAGAAAUACUUAGGGGAAUAUAAAAAGGUAAUUAAAAACACUCAAUUCAUCAUUGGAAUAAUUCAGAAUGAAAAUAAACACAUGCAAGACCAAAAAAAUUUCUACAUGACCAAAAGGAAAGAAACACUGAAUAUUAAAAGUGAAUUAAAUAGGCAAAAGGAAAUUAUACGGUGUGCAUUAAAAAACAUACAACAAGAGCCAAAACAUGGGGAACAAGUGGAGACAAAAAUCAAGACGGAGCAAGGAAAGCAUGAAAAUGAAAGGGAAAAAAUAUAUGAGAUAGAAAAAGAUGCCUUGGAUGACUUAAGUGCAGACGAGAGUCAAGACAAAGAGGAUCUUGAAAGAGUGAAAGAGUUGUUGAAAAAGAACCAGAAACUUGACAUGAGAGGCUGUAAAAUCAAAAAAGAAAUAGACAUAUUAAAACAAAAAAAUGAAAACAUAAAAGAGGAAAGGAAAACAACUGAAAUAAAAGAAACUGAAAAAAAAAUGAAACUGAAAGAUUUCAAUAAAAUGUUUUGGGGCAAACAAAAAGAAAAACACAGUACUGAGUAUCUGACUGUAAAGAAAGAAUAUAAAAGAGAAACGACUAAGGAUGGUAUAAAAAGGGUGAUCUUACAAGACACAAAACAAGACUUGAUAAAAAAAGAGAUAAAAAAAUGUAACCAGGAAAAAGAAAAAGUCAUCCAGAUGAAAACUAGACGUGAGAAUAGAAAAGAACUGUUGUUGAAGGUAAGGAGAAACAUCAAAGAUGAAGAGAAAGAGAUGGAAAUGAGAGGAGACCAAGUCAUGGAUGAAAUGAAAUCGCUAGAGAUUCUGAAAGUGAAACUUCAACAACUGAAGGGGGAUAUAAAAGCCAAAAUGGAGAGAUUACUACAAAAUGUUGACAACAGGUCAAGGCUGCAAACAGUGUUGGAAGAAAAACUUCCAACCCAAGACGAACUGAAAGAAAGCAUUCGCUGUUUCACUGAAAUGUUAGAGAGAGAAAAGGAAGGUGUGAGAAGUAUCCUUUCAGACAUGGUCACCAAGAGAGAAUGCACAGAAAAUGAAUGGAAGCAGCAGUUUGAACUGGACAAACGAGAGCUUGAUAAAGUGAAAGAAGAUCUGAGACACGACAGAGAAGAUCUGGAGAGAGAAAGUGAGGUGCUGAAUAAAGAGAAAAUGGAUUUGAAGGUGUUGAUGUCUGACAUCAUGAAACAAUUUGAAAUAUUGGAAGAAAAGAAACAAAAUAUAAAAGAAGAACGAGACUCAAUGGAAACCAUAAAGCUUGAACUGCUCAAUAAGAUGGAACAUGUAAACAGGCUGUUACAUGAGACAAAUGACGAAAAAGCCAAGAUUAAAAAUUGUAUCCUUCAGGUUCAAAUGGAAAAAGAAAGACUUGAAGACAUUUUAAGCAAGAUUUUCUUAACACAUAAUGAAGAAAAAGUCAAGGAAUAUGGCCUCAGAAGACAAACAAAAGAAGUGGAAAUCAUGAAAAAGGAAUUACAGAGUGAAAGAGCAAAAGUGGAGAGUCUGAUGAGGAAUCUGAAGAAGAAGCAAGAAGAGCUUGAACGUGCAAAGGAAAUCAUGAGUGGAGAAAAAGAAGAGAUGAAAGAGAUGAAGACUGACAUUGCCAAAGAACGAGAACUGUUGUUGAAGGAAAGGAGAAAUAUGGAAGAAGAGCGGUCUGAGAUGGAAAUGAGAGGAGACCAAGUCAUGGAUGAAAUGAAAUUGCUAGAGAUUCUGAAAGUGAAACUUCAACAACUGAAGGAGGAUAUAAAAGCCAAAAUGGAGAGAUUACUACAAAAUGUUGACAACAGGUCAAGGCUGCAAACAGUGUUGGAAGAAAAACUUCCAACCCAAGACGAACUGAAAGAAAGCAUUCGCUGUUUCACUGAAAUGUUAGAGAGAGAAAAGGAAGGUGUGAGAAGUAUCCUUUCAGAAAUGGUCACCAAGAGAGAAAGCACAGAAAAUGAAUGGAAGCAGCAGGUUGAACUGGACAAACGAGAGCUUGAUGAAGUGAAAGAAGAUCUGAGACACGACAGAGAAGAUCUGGAGAGAGAAAGUGAGGUGCUGAAUAAAGAGAAAAUGGAUUUGAAGGUGUUGAUGUCUGACAUCAUGAAACAAUUUGAAAUAUUGGAAGAAAAGAAACAAAAUAUAAAAGAAGAACGAGACUCAAUGGAAACCAUAAAGCUUAAACUGCUCAAUAAGAUGGAACAUGUAAACAGGCUGUUACAUGAGACAAAUGACGAAAAAGCCAAGAUUAAAAAUUGUAUCCUUCAGGUUCAAAUGGAAAAAGAAAGACUUGAAGACAUUUUAAGCAAGAUUUUCUUAACACAUAAUGAAGAAAAAGUCAAGGAAGAUGACCUCAGAAUACAAACAAAAGAAGUGGAAAUCAUGAAAAAGGAAUUACAGAGUGAAAGAGCAAAAGUGGAGAGUCUGAUGAGGAAUCUGAAGAAGAAGCAAGAAGAGCUUGAACGUGCAAAGGAAAUCAUGAGUGAAGAAAAAGAAGAGAUGAAAGAGAUGAAGACUGACAUUGCCAAAGAACGAGAACUGUUGUUGAAGGAAAGGAGAAAUAUGGAAGAAGAGCGGUCUGAGAUGGAAAUGAGAGGAGACCAAGUCAUGGAUGAAAUGAAAUUGCUAGAGAUUCUGAAAGUGAAACUUCAACAACUGAAGGAGGAUAUAAAAGCCAAAAUGGAGAGAUUACUACAAAAUGUUGACAACAGGUCAAGGCUGCAAACAGUGUUGGAAGAAAAACUUCCAACCCAAGACGAACUGAAAGAAAGCAUUCGCUGUUUCACUGAAAUGUUAGAGAGAGAAAAGGAAGGUGUGAGAAGUAUCCUUUCAGACAUGGUCACCAAGAGAGAAUGCACAGAAAAUGAAUGGAAGAAGCAGUUUGAACUGGACAAACGAGAACUUGAUAAAGUGAAAGAAGAUCUGAGACAUGACAGAGAAGAUCUGGAGAGAGAAAGUGAGGUGUUGAAUAAAGAGAAAAUGGAUUUGAAGGUGUUGAUGUCUGACAUCAUGAAACAAUUUGAAAUAUUGGAAGAAAAGAAACAAAAUAUAAAAGAAGAACGAGACUCAAUGGAAACCAUAAAGCUUGAACUGCUCAAUAAGAUGGAACAUGUAAACAGGCUGUUACAUGAGACAAAUGACGAAAAAGCCAAGAUUAAAAAUUGUAUCCUUCAGGUUCAAACGGAAAAAGAAAGACUUGAAGACAUUUUAAGCAAGAUUUUCUUAACACAUAAUGAAGAAAAAGUCAAGGAAGAUGGCCUCAGAAGACAAACAAAAGAAGUGGAAAUCAUGAAAAAGGAAUUACAGAGUGAAAGAGCAAAAGUGGAGAGUCUGAUGAGGAAUCUGAAGAAGAAGCAAGAAGAGCUUGAACGUGCAAAGGGAAUCAUGAGUGAAGAAAAAGAAGAGAUGAAAGAGAUGAAGACUGACAUUGCCAAAGAACGAGAACUGUUGUUGAAAGAAAGGAGAAAUAUGGAAGAAGAGCGGUCUGAGAUGGAAAUGAGAGGAGACCAAGUCAUGGAUGAAAUGAAAUUGCUAGAGAUUCUGAAAGUGAAACUUCAACAACUGAAGGAGGAUAUAAAAGCCAAAAUGGAGAGAUUACUACAAAAUGUUGACAACAGGUCAAGGCUGCAAACAGUGUUGGAAGAAAAACUUCCAACCCAAGACGAACUGAAAGAAAGCAUUCGCUGUUUCACUGAAAUGUUAGAGAGAGAAAAGGAAGGUGUGAGAAGUAUCCUUUCAGAAAUGGUCACCAAGAGAGAAUGCACAGAAAAUGAAUGGAAGCAGCAGUUUGAACUGGACAAACGAGAGCUUGAUAAAGUGAAAGAAGAUCUGAGACACGACAGAGAAGAUCUGGAGAGAGAAAGUGAGGUGCUGAAUAAAGAGAAAAUGGAUUUGAAGGUGUUGAUGUCUGACAUCAAGAAACAAUUUGAAAUAUUGGAAGAAAAGAAACAAAAUAUAAAAGAAGAACGAGACUCAAUGGAAACCAUAAAGCUUGAACUGCUCAAUAAGAUGGAACAUGUAAACAGGCUGUUACAUGAGACAAAUGACGAAAAAGCCAAGAUUAAAAAUUGUAUCCUUCAGGUUCAAACGGAAAAAGAAAGACUUGAAGACAUUUUAAGCAAGAUUUUCUUAACACAUAAUGAAGAAAAAGUCAAGGAAGAUGACCUCAGAAGACAAACAAAAGAAGUGGAAAUCAUGAAAAAGGAAUUACAGAGUGAAAGAGCAAAAGUGGAGAGUCUGAUGAGGAAUCUGAAGAAGAAGCAAGAAGAGCUUGAACUCUGAUGAGGAAUCUGAAGAAGAAGCAAGAAGAGCUUGAACGUGCAAAGGGAAUCAUGAGUGAAGAAAAAGAAGAGAUGAAAGAGAUGAAGACUGACAUUGCCAAAGAACGAGAACUGUUGUUGAAGGAAAGGAGAAAUAUGGAAGAAGAGCGGUCUGAGAUGGAAAUGAGAGGAGACCAAGUCAUGGAUGAA